GAUGAACGCUGGCGGCGUGCUUAAUACAUGCAAGUCGAGCGAACAGGCGAGGGCUUUCCCUCUUUCUCGUUUGGGGCAGGGGGGAGUGUCACGUGUGGGUACCGUCCUUCUCUGCCUGGGAUAACUUGGGGACUCCGGAGCAUAUCCGGGAGAACAUUUUUAAGCGUACGGUUCAGUAGUGAUAGUCGGUUUUGCGGUCACUUCUCGACGGAUCCGCGCCGCAUUGGCGUGUUGGUAAGGUAACGACUUACCAAGGCAACGAUGCGUACCCGACCUGAGAGGGUGAUCGGCCAUACUGGAGCGGAGACACGGUCCAGACUCCUACGGGAGGCCACAGUAGGGAGUCUUCCGGAAGGGGCGAAUGCCUGACGGUGCAACGCCGCGUGAGGGAUGAAGGCCUUCGGAUCGUAGAACUCUGUUAUGUGGGAAGAACAAAUGUGUAAGUAACUAGGCACUUCUUGACGGUACCUAAUCAGAAAGCCACGGCUAACUACGUG
rnacentral:rRNA from 1 species